rnacentral:rRNA from 1 species
UACGUAGGGGGCAAGCGUUGUCCGGAUUUAUUGGGCGUAAAGAGCGUGUAGGCGGCUAGGUAGGUCCGUUGUGAAAACUCGAGGCUCAACCUCGAGACGUCGAUGGAAACCAUCUGGCUAGAGUCCGGAAGAGGAGAGUGGAAUUCCUGGUGUAGCGGUGAAAUGCGUAGAUAUCGGGAGGAACACCAGUGGCGAAGGCGACUUCCUGGCCUGUUCUUGACGCUGAGGCGCGAAAGCUAGGGUAGCGAACGGG